rnacentral:rRNA from 1 species
UACAGAGGGGGCAAGCGUUGUUCGGAAUUACUGGGCGUAAAGGGCGCGUAGGCGGCCGCCUAAGUCAGACGUGAAAUCCCUCGGCUCAACCGGGGAACUGCGUCUGAUACUGGGUGGCUUGAAUCCGGGAGAGGGAUGCGGAAUUCCCAGUGUAGCGGUGAAAUGCGUAGAUAUUGGGAAGAACACCAGUGGCGAAGGCGGCUCACUGGCCCGUAACUGACGCUGAGGUGCGAAAGCGUGGGGAGCAAACAGG